rnacentral:lncRNA from 1 species
GAGGUGACAUAGAGAGGGGUAUAGAGGUCACGUAGAGAGGGGUAUAGAGAUCACGUAGAGAGGGGUAUAGAGGUCAGGUAUAGAGGUGACGUAGAGAGGGGUAUAGAGGUCACGUAGAGAGGGGUAUAGAGGUCACGUAGAGAGGGGUAUAGAGGUCAGGUAUAGAGGUCACGUUGAGAGGGGUAUAGAGGUCAGGUAUAGAGGGGUAUAGAGGUCACGUCGAGAGGGGUAUAGAGGUUACGUAGAGACUAUUUGUUGACAUGGUAUAGUUGUGUGAUGUUUCCCAGCGGGAAAGUUGCCUUUCCAGGAAGUAAAAUAUUCAAAUUACCAGGGACUCUUCCAUAGUUUAUAUUUCAACAAAACAGAAAUCAUGAAAUAAGUGAAUAUUCACUGGUGCUGUCCAUGUUGCUGAAGGUGAUUUAUCUUGU